CACAGCUGUGUUUGAGACAAGGCGCAAAUACUGUCUUCCACAGCAGGAAGGCACAGCUCUAUGUUGAACAGCCCACGUCUGGGUGGGCUGUGCAAGUCUGGAUCCAAAGAACUGUUUUUAAAAAGCCCAUCACUGUGAUAAGGCUGGACAUAGCUGAACGAGGGAUCUGUUCCAUCUGAAUGAUAAAUUGGAUAGAAGUUGCAGUAGUUAGAGGAAGAAAAGUCAUACUACACUGGAGGUCAUCAUCCUGUAAGAAUUUGGAGUCAGCCCUGGAGACCCUCUGACUGGAAGUGCUGCUGAAAAUGAUUACUUCUUUCAGAGAGCAAGACAAUGCUUGCUGACACAAUAUUUUCCCUGAAAAAAAACCCUAAAAUCUCCAUAAAUGAAUUCUGCACAAGUGUCCCAGU